rnacentral:tRNA from 1 species
GCCUGGCUGGCUCAGUCAGUAGAGCAUAGGACUCUUGAUCUUGGGGUUGUAAGUUUGAACCCCAUGUUGGGUG